rnacentral:rRNA from 1 species
GACGAACCGUGCGAACGUUGUUCGGAUUCACUGGGCUUAAAGGGCGCGUAGGCGGCUUGCCGAGUCAGGGGUGAAAUCUUUCGGCUCAACCGGAAAACUGCCCCUGAGACCGGCCGGCUGGAGGGGGGUAGGGGCGGACGGAACUUCCGGUGGAGCGGUGAAAUGCGUAGAUAUCGGAAGGAACGCCGGUGGCGAAAGCGGUCCGCUGGACCCCUUCUGACGCUGAGGGCGCGAAAGCCGGGGGAGCGACGGG